UCCCACCCCAAUGGAGCAGGCUCUCUGCAUCUGCUGAGCACUGUGGAGGCCAGCUGAGACUUACCCAUCAGAACUGGUCUCUGAGAAUGAACUCUGGGAGGUGGUACCUUAUUUCCAGUAUCCAGGGACUGAAGUGGGGUGGUUGAUAACAGAGCAGCUGAAGAGGCCCUCAGGACCCCUGGAGCAUCAUGCCUGUGUGGUCCUCUGUGCUCCUCAUCAGAACCUUUCCUAGCCCUCAUGUGGUGUCUGGGCAGUCCCACCCCCCAUUAGUUAAUUCUGCCCCUUUGAUACUUGUAACAUGAUGGAAACUCUAGAGAAGCAUCCCAGGGCCCAGGAGCCGCUGCCUGCCAUCAUGGUGGAAAAUAAAUCUCCUUCCCGGGUAGCAGACAGUGCCUGCAGUAUUUCAUAAUUGGCGAGAUGAAGAGCCCCGGUUUUUUGAGAUGUUUGGGAAUAACUCAGUUUAAAAGACCACGUCCUAACAACCGGAAUGGGCCGAUUAUUCCAGGAUAAUCCACUGAGAAUUGUUGCUGCACGAGGAUGCCUGGAAUUUCCACAAAAGAGGCAUUGAGAGAGCCCACUGCACUGAUGAUGAUGAUGAUGAUGAUGAUGAUGAUGAUGAUGAUGAUGAUGGCAGAGUUAUCUGAAAUCUUCAGAAUGACCACAAAGUGUUACAACGAAUCAAAGGGAUCAUCCUGCUCAUGGAUGGAAGUGCAUGGUGAAGAAGAUGUCAGGUUGAACCAGAGGGAAAUACAGGAUUGUAAAAUGUCAUGAAA